UACGGAGGGGGCGAGCGUUAAUCGGAAUUACUGGGCGUAAAGCGCACGUAGGCGGACGGAUAAGUCGGAUGUGAAAGCCCUGGGCUUAACCUGGGAACUGCAUUCGAUACUGUCUGGCUAGAGUAUGGGAGAGGGGAGUAGAAUUUCUAGUGUAGCGGUGAAAUGCGUAGAUAUCAGGAGGAAUACCAAUGGCGAAGGCAGCUUCCUGGGCCAAUACUGACGCUCAGGUGCGAAAGCGUGGGGAUCAAACAGG
rnacentral:rRNA from 1 species